ACAUGACAGCGACGACCCAGAUUACGUGCCACUUUUUCGUGUGUGCAAAGGCAGAUCUCUGAAUACUGGGUUCAUCCUUGAAGAAUGUCCAUCAGUCACCAUGGAAGACACUGCAUGACGCGGGAGACGACACAGAUCAAGAUGAUCAUGAAGAAGAUCUCUCUGUGCUGGAGCAAGAGCAAGAGACACAACAUCUUCCCCAAAAAAAGCAAAGAAGGCAACCAUAUAGAUCAGAGAUAACUGUUGAGGUGGAAGAUGAUAUAAUUGGCAAACCGGCUUCUAUUGCUUACCAUGACUGUCUGAGGCAGCUUUGUGAGUUUGUUGCUUUGCCAAUAGAUUCUUGUAAAGGGAAGGACCCCAUCACCCAAAAACAAUGUCAGGCAAAAGGACCUUUUGAGAUUAACAUCAAGUCAAGGGUCACAGCUGCCGUCAUUGAAUGGCUGUGUCCUCAAGGUCGUGUGGCGGUGGUCUUCCCAACCAACUUUAAAAGUCAGUUAGGAGACUUUCUAAUGGCCACCAAUAUUUUGCUCACAGGCAACAACUACACAAAGGUGAAAAUGCUUUUCAACUUCAUGAAUAUGGGGAUGAUCAAUGAGAGAUACUUUGCUGACAUCCAAGACAACUACUGUGUGGACACUAUAAAGGCGUUCUGGAAUGCGAGAAGAGCCAAAGUGAUUGCCAAUGUGAAGACAUUAGGACCAACUGUUGCUCUCGGAGAUGGAAGGAUGGACAGUGCAGGAUUCUGCGCGCAGUACUGUACGUACACUGCCAUGGACAAUGCCACAAGACAAAUAAUCAACGUGGUGAAUGUGGACAAGCGUGAGACUUCGCGGAAAUCGACCAACAUGGAGAAGGUGGCCUUUAUAGAGACAUUAGACACGCUGAAGCAAGAUCUUGAUGUCAUUGAGUUCUGCACUGAUGCACACAGCCAAAUAUCGGCCCUAUUCA